GCCGCUGUGGCGCAAUGGUUAGCGCGUCGCUUUCCUAUUGAUCGAGGUGAAAAUGCCACAGAAAGGCGAAGGUUGCGAGUUCGAGUCUCGUCUGCGGUU